rnacentral:rRNA from 1 species
UACAGAGGUGCCGAGCGUUAGGCGGAAUCACUGGGCUUAAAGCGUGUGUAGGCGGAUGCCUAAGUACCUUGUGAAAUCCCACGGCUUAACCGUGGAACUGCUCGGUAUACUGGGUGUCUUGAGCCACUUAGGGGUUACCGGAACAAAUGGUGGAGCGGUGAAAUGCGUAGAUAUCGGGAGGAACACCUGUGGCGAAAGCGGCGAGCUGGACCACUACUGACGCUGAAGAACGAAAGCUAGGGGAGCAAACAGG